rnacentral:rRNA from 1 species
GACGAACGCUGGCGGCGUGCUUAACACAUGCAAGUCGAACGGAAAGGCCCUGCUUUUGUGGGGUGCUCGAGUGGCGAACGGGUGAGUAACACGUGAGUAACCUGCCCUUGACUUUGGGAUAACUUCAGGAAACUGGGGCUAAUACCGGAUAGGAGCUCCUGCUGCACGGUGGGGGUUGGAAAGUUUCGGCGGUUGGGGAUGGACUCGCGGCUUAUCAGCUUGUUGGUGGGGUAGUGGCUUACCAAGGCUUUGACGGGUAGCCGGCCUGAGAGGGUGACCGGCGACAUGGGGACUGAGAUACGGCCCAGACUCCUACGGGAGGCAGCAGGGGGGAAUAUUGCACAAUGGGCGGAAGCCUGAUGCAGCAACGCCGCGUGCGGGAUGACGGCCUUCGGGUUGUAAACCGCUUUCGCCUGUGACGAAGCGUGAGUGACGGUAAUGGGUAAAGAAGCACCGGCUAACUACGUG